GACCUCGGAUCAGGUAGGGAUACCCGCUGAACUUAAGCAUAUCAAUAAGCGGAGGAAAA
rnacentral:rRNA from 2 species